rnacentral:rRNA from 1 species
GACAGAGGGUGCAAACGUUGCUCGGAAUUACUGGGCGUAAAGCGUGCGUAGGUGGUUUGUUAAGUCCGUUGUGAAAGCCCCGAGCUCAACUUGGGAAUUGCAGUGGAUACUGGCGAGCUGGAGUGCGGUAGAGGAAGGUGGAAUUCCCGGUGUAGCGGUGAAAUGCGUAGAGAUCGGGAGGAACACCAGUGGCGAAGGCGGCCUUCUGGACCAGCACUGACACUCAAGCACGAAAGCGUGGGGAGCAAACAGG